AUACGAGCAGCGUCAGUGUCCACUAGUGUGCAUGCCUGAUUAAACAAGGACAGGAAGUAUCUAUACAUGGUGUUCUCUUUCUAUUUCCAUGUUGCAUCCAUCUUACUAUACAGUACACACACUCAGCUAUUCUAUCAUUAUAUUUGUGCGUUGCUUAUGUGUGAACCAAACAUUUCCAUGGCAACAAAUCGUUUGUCUCUUGUUUGAUGCACGGUUUUCAACGGAGUUGAAAGAAUUUUUUAAGAGAAACGUAAUGGACGGGUUGUUUUUAAAGUAAUAAACGGAAAUUCUCGUAUCCAUUGAGAAACGAUAGGCGAUUUGAAAGUGUCACUAUGAACGGUGAUUUAUCGAUGCAAGGUAGUAUGAAUAAGAUAUUUUAUAAUCUGCGAAAAAAGGAGGAGAGUCGUAUUUCGGAACGUCAUCGCAACAUAUUAUACCUUGUAUGUGAUUAUUUGGAACACAAUGGGUGAGUAUAUUAUAAUUAAAAUAUAUUCCUAGUUCCAAUUCUCUUGAAUAGUGUCAGUGACCAAUCGAAAUAGAAAUCAGUGGACAUCGUGGAAAGAGAAGGCGAAACCAAAUUUGAAAAUUCGACAUCGGUAAUUCAGUAGUUAAGAAUAACUCAAUCGAUAAUGUAGAUUAACUAGUUAUAAACAAAUAUAUGAAAUAUAAAUUCAAAUUAUUCUUAUCCAUCUAAAAAUUGGAAAUUAAAGAGCAGAAGACAAGAAAUUAUCUUCGAGGAUUUAUAUAGUAUAUAGACAUUAGCGAUGUAUUAUUCCGGGAAGCUCGUCUGUCUCCCGAACAUCGGGUCUGCGACAACAUCGAUUUGGAAAUUAUCGUUGCAGAGUAUGAAAAUUAUUACAAGAUGAAAUUUCAAAAAUAUCCCAUAUUGUGUAAGAAAAUAACUGGAAGGGAAAUGACGAGGGAAGUGACAAAUGCAAGCAAAACUGUUUGUAGAAGUAUUGAGACAAAAGCCAAAUCUUUUAGUAAACAAGCGAGAAGUGAGCCUGUGAAAGAGACGAAUCUACAGCAGAAGAUAACUGAUGACAAUACGAAUCAUAUUAAUCUCGCAAUGACAGUGACGUCAAUAUUCCCCAAUGAGAGUGAUGGACGUUCAUCAGAAGAGCUAUUUAACGUCCCAAUGGAACAAUCCAUGCAAUCGAAGAUAUUGAAAUGCAUUGAAAAGCUUUAUUCAGAUAAUACGGAAUUACGAAAGAU